rnacentral:rRNA from 1 species
UACGUAGGGUCCGAGCGUUGUCCGGAAUUACUGGGCGUAAAGAGCUCGUAGGUGGUUUGUCGCGUUGUUCGUGAAAACUCACAGCUCAACUGUGGGCGUGCGGGCGAUACGGGCAGACUGGAGUACUGCAGGGGAGACUGGAAUUCCUGGUGUAGCGGUGGAAUGCGCAGAUAUCUGGAGGAACACCGGUGGCGAAGGCGGCAUUCUGGACCGACAUUGACGCUGAGGAGCGAAAGCCAGGGGAGCAAACGGG